UUAAGUUAACAAGGGCGCAUGGUGAAUGCCUUGGCACUAGGAGCCGAUGAAGGACGGGACUAACACCGAUAUGCUUCGGGGAGCUGUACGUAAGCUAUGAUCCGGAGAUUUCCGAAUGGGGCAACCCAGCAGUUUUAAUCAACUGUUACCACUAGAUGAAUUCAUAGUCUAGUUGGAGGUAAACGCUGUGAACUGAAACAUCUCAUUAGCAGCAGGAAUAUAAAGAAAUUUCGAUUCCCUAAGUAGCGGCGAGCGAACGGGGAACAGCCCAAACCAAAGUGCUUGCACUUUGGGGUUGUAGGACUGAACAUUUGAGUUACCAAAGAACUUGAUAGUCGAAGGAUUUGGGAAAAUCCGCCAUAGAUGGUGAUAGCCCAGUAGAUUAAAUCAAAUUCUCUCAGUUCAGGAUCCUGAGUACGGCGGAACACGUGAAAUUCCGUCGGAAUCCGGGAGGACCAUCUCCCAAGGCUAAAUACUACCUAGUGACCGAUAGUGAACCAGUACCGUGAGGGAAAGGUGAAAAGCACCCCGGGAGGGGAGUGAAAUAGUUCCUGAAACCAUGUGCCUACAAUAAGUCAGAGCGCGUUAAUGCGUGAUGGCGUGCCUUUUGUAGAAUGAACCGGCGAGUUAUGAUCCCGUGCAAGGUUAAGACUAAAAAGUCGGAGCCGUAGCGAAAGCGAGUCUGAAAUGGGCGUUUUGAGUACGAGGUUAUAGACCCGAAACCAGGUGACCUAUCCAUGUCCAGGUUGAAGGUGCGGUAAAACGCACUGGAGGACCGAACCCGUGUAAGUUGAAAAUUGCUGGGAUGAGGUGUGGAUAGCGGUGAAAUUCCAAACGAACUUGGAGAUAGCUGGUUCUCUCCGAAAUAGCUUUAGGGCUAGCCUCGGAAUUAGGAUCAUGGAGGUAGAGCACUAUUUGGACUAGGGGCCCGUCUUGGGUUACUGAAUUCAGAUAAACUCCGAAUGCCAUUGAUUCAUAUCCGGGAGUCAGACGAUGAGUGAUAAGAUCCACCGUCGAAAGGGGAACAGCCCAGACCAUCAGUUAAGGUCCCUAAAUGUAUGCUAAGUGGAAAAGGAUGUGGAGUUGCAUAGACAACUAGGAUGUUGGCUCAGAAGCAGCCACCAUUUAAAGAGUGCGUAAUAGCUCACUAGUCGAGUGAUCCUGCGCCGAAAAUGUACCGGGGCUAAGCAUACUACCGAAACCAUGGAUGCGACCAUUAGGUCGCGUGAUAGGAGAGCGUUCUAAGGGCGGUGAAGCAAGAUCGUGAGGACUUGUGGAGCGCUUAGAAGUGAGAAUGCCGGUAUGAGUAGCGAAAGAUAGGUGAGAAUCCUAUCCACCGAAUGACUAAGGUUUCCUGGGGAAGGCUCGUCCUCCCAGGGUUAGUCGGGACCUAAGUCGAGGCCGAGAGGCGUAGACGAUGGAUAACAGGUUGAGAUUCCUGUACUAGUUAAGUGCGUUUGAGCAAUGGAGGGACGCAGGAGGCUAAGAUGUGCAUUCUGUUGGAUUAGAAUGUCCAAGCAGUAAGUCUUGUGAAGAGUCAAAUGCUUUUCACUUUAAGGACAAGCUGUGAUGGGGAGCGAAAUUUAGUAGCGAAGCGUCUGAUGUCACACUGCCGAGAAAAGCUUCUAGUGAGUACUUAACUACCCGUACCGCAAACCAACACAGGUAGUCGAGGAGAGAAUCCUAAGGUGAGCGAGUGAACUCUCGUUAAGGAACUCGGCAAAAUGACCCCGUAACUUCGGGAGAAGGGGUGCUGAUCGCAAGAUCAGCCGCAGUGAAUAGGCCCAGGCGACUGUUUAUCAAAAACACAGGUCUCUGCAAAAUCGUAAGAUGACGUAUAGGGGCUGACGCCUGCCCGGUGCUGGAAGGUUAAAAGGAUGGGUUAGCUUCGGCGAAGCUCAGAAUUGAAGCCCCAGUAAACGGCGGCCGUAACUAUAACGGUCCUAAGGUAGCGAAAUUCCUUGUCGGGUAAGUUCCGACCCGCACGAAAGGCGUAACGAUCUGGGCACUGUCUCAACGAGAGACUCGGUGAAAUUAUAUUGUCCGUGAAGAUGCGGACUACCCGCGACAGGACGGAAAGACCCCAUGGAGCUUUACUGUAGCUUGAUAUUGAGUGUUUGUACAGCUUGUACAGGAUAGGUAGGAGCCAUAGAAACCGGAACGCUAGUUUCGGUGGAGGCGUUGGUGGGAUACUACCCUCGCUGUAUGACCACUCUAACCCGCACCACUAAUCGUGGUGGGAGACAGUGUCAGGUGGGCAGUUUGACUGGGGCGGUCGCCUCCUAAAAAGUAACGGAGGCGCCCAAAGGUUCCCUCAGAAUGGUUGGAAAUCAUUCGCAGAGUGUAAAGGCACAAGGGAGCUUGACUGCGAGACAGACAGGUCGAGCAGGGACGAAAGUCGGGCUUAGUGAUCCGGUGGUACCGUAUGGAAGGGCCAUCGCUCAACGGAUAAAAGCUACCCUGGGGAUAACAGGCUUAUCUCCCCCAAGAGUCCACAUCGACGGGGAGGUUUGGCACCUCGAUGUCGGCUCAUCGCAUCCUGGGGCUGUAGUCGGUCCCAAGGGUUGGGCUGUUCGCCCAUUAAAGCGGUACGCGAGCUGGGUUCAGAACGUCGUGAGACAGUUCGGUCCCUAUCCGUCGCGGGCGUAGGAAAUUUGAGAGGACCUGUCCUUAGUACGAGAGGACCGGGAUGGACAUACCUCUGGUGUACCAGUUGUGCCGCCAGGCGCAUCGCUGGGUAGCUACGUAUGGAUGUGAUAAACGCUGAAAGCAUCUAAGUGUGAAACACACCUCGAGAUGAGAUUUCCCAUUCCUUUAUGGAAGUAAGACCCCUGAAAGAUGAUCAGGUAGAUAGGUUAGAAGUGGCAGUGCGGUGACGCAUGAAGCGGACUAAUACUAAUCGGUCGAGGACUUAACC
rnacentral:rRNA from 1 species